rnacentral:rRNA from 1 species
UUUCUUGAUUAGUGGCGCACGGGUGAGUAAUGCAUAGAUAAUGUGCCCCUUAGUUCGGGAUAGCCACUGGAAACGGUGAUUAAUACCGGAUACUCCUUCUUGUUAUAAGACAAGUCGGGAAAGUUUUUCGCUAAGGGAUCAGUCUAUGUUCCAUCAGCUUGUUGGUGAGGUAAUGGCUCACCAAGGCUAUGACGGAUAUCUGGUUUGAGAGGAUGAUCAGACACACUGGAACUGAGACACGGUCCAGACUCCUACGGGAGGCAGCAGUGAGGAAUAUUGCACAAUGGAGGAAACUCUGAUGCAGCAACGCCGCGUGGAGGAUGACGCAUUUCGGUGUGUAAACUCCUUUUAUUAGGGAAGAUAAUGACGGUACCUAAUGAAUAAGCACCGGCUAACUCCGUGCCAGCAGCCGCGGUAAUACGGAGGGUGCAAGCGUUACUCGGAAUCACUGGGCGUAAAGGGUGCGUAGGCUGGCUUUUAAGUCAGAUGUGAAAUCCAAUGGCUCAACCAUUGAACUGCAUUUGAAACUGAAAGCCUAGAGUUCAGAAGGGGCAGAUGGAAUUAGUGGUGUAGGGGUAAAAUCCGUAGAUAUCACUAGGAAUAUCAAAAGCGAAGGCGAUCUGCUGGGAUGAUA